CAUGGCUAACCAAUCAAAUACGUUACUGUAAAAAACUUGUGACAAAUGACCGUGGAGAUCGUCAUAUACGUCCUACUUUUUAAAUUUUAUUACAAAAUUUGUAUUAAUUGAGAAGUUGUUUAGUUUCAUGAUGAAAAUAAAACAAAUGCAGUAAUAUUUGCAUGAGUGGAAACAAAAUCAGACAGGCUCAUACUCUGCAAUUGACAUGUGAGUUUCACUCAAAAUAAAGCAGCAGGAAUAAAAAAAAACAAGCUGAAUAACUUGUAUAGUUACAUUCCUAUGUCAUUGAAAAUAAGAAAACACGGAGCAAUGUACUUCAUCUGGGGUGACUGGUUUACCAACGAGGUUCGAACAUCUGAUGAUUCAGUUGUCUCGAUAGUUGUAAUGAAUGACAGUAUCACUAGAAGUAUUACUGUACCUGGAUAUGGUGUAUACCAUAGUAAUUGGUUUAAAAGUGAUGCAGACUUGAAAAAACAUUAUUGGGCAGCAUCGCUUUUGUUACCCAUUGGAUCAGUUUUCAUACUAGCAGUAGUUAUACUACUUAUGGUAUUGUUCAAAAGGUGUCCACAGAUGGUGGCCGCGAUUGUUGCCGGAGUUCUCGGUGUAAUUAUUGUCUUUAUAGUCCUUAUAACAGUUAAUCAAUCCCCUGUUUAUUGGUGACGUAAUAAGGAAUGAUAUUACUAUUUCAUUAUCAUAAUUACCAUAAGUGUUCCAAAAGUCGUAUCAUAUCAUCUGACACCCUGGCAACUACAUCGAAGUACUUAUCUAAUGUUUCCUUCAACUGCUCGUAACACUGAAACAAGAACCGGAAAGCCUUAAUUUUACAUUUCUAGAGAAGAAAACCGUCUUGAAAUCAAAUAAAAGAUGUGCCUUUAUACAUGCAAAUAAAAUCAAAGUACCUGAA
rnacentral:misc_RNA from 1 species